CCUACGGGAGGCAGCAGUGGGGAAUCUUGCGCAAUGGGCGAAAGCCUGACGCAGCAACGCCGCGUGCGGGAUGAAGGCCUUCGGGCUGUAAACCGCUUUCAGCAGGAACGAAAAUGACGGUACCUGCAGAAGAAGGAGCGGCCAACUACGUGCCAGCAGCCGCGGUGACACGUAGGCUCCAAGCGUUGUCCGGAUUUAUUGGGCGUAAAGAGCUCGUAGGCGGUCCAAUAAGUCGGGUGUGAAAACUCUGGGCUCAACCCGGAGACGCCAUCCGAUACUGUUAUGACUUGAGUUCAGGAGGGGAGCGGGGAAUUCCUAGUGUAGCGGUGAAAUGCGCAGAUAUUAGGAGGAACACCGGUGGCGAAGGCGCCGCUCUGGACUGAAACUGACGCUGAGGAGCGAAAGCAUGGGUAGCAAACAGGAUUAGAUACCCUGGUAGUCCAUGCCGUAAACGGUGGGCACUAGGUGCGGGUUUCAACUACGAAAUCCGCGCCGUCGCUAACGCAUUAAGUCGCCCCGCCGUCGGGUAGGUACGGUCGCGACGACGUAAACUACAAUAGAGUAGACGGCGUGAGACGUGCCGACGGACGACGACGAGGGAGGUAGG
rnacentral:rRNA from 1 species